rnacentral:hammerhead_ribozyme from 1 species
AUCCGGCUGACGGAUCCCGAAUAGGACGAAACGCGCGUCCUGGAU